AAGAUUUAAGAUUGAAGUUUGCAAAUCUUUUCAGCUGCUAGGUUGUAGGUAUAUUGCUGAACAAUCAUUUUUUUUCAGAUGCUUAUAGUUUUAUGGCUACACCUUAUCCACUUUCUUUUUCUCGUUGGUAGUGUCAUGCACUAGAGCUCUAUUUUUCAGUACGCUCACUUAACAAGAUUUACACCACUCUUUAGCUUUCUGAACAUGAUUUGUAUAGUGAUAUUCACUUCCCCCAGCACAUGCAAGCCAAUGUUUGCUUAUACCCUUGAGAUUAGAAGAUACAAGCAUCACGUUUCAGCACAAAGUUAUAUCCGUAAUUGCUACAAUCAAAUCUCAUACAAUACUACGUGAGAUUUUGCGAUUCUAAGAGAGUAUGGUGCAAUCUUUCUCAAAAAUAUAAUACAGAUUUUCUCCUGAUUCGAUCCGCCGUUAUGUCUUUUUCGCAAAAGACGUGUGUUAGAAGGAUUGUCAAGAAAAUGAGCUAAGGUAUGUUAAGACUAUCCUUCUUUCCUUUUGGCAUGAUCCAUACGAUAUAAACGAAACGAGCAAAUACACAAUUUUCAUAAAUGACUAUUCAUAGAAAUGCUAGAGAUGCCUAUGUUCUUGAUUCCCCAUGUAUCCUAUUAUUCUAUCAUUGCGAAAUAAAUAGUUUGCCCAUCAACUUUGGAGCGAAAUCCCUGUUACAUACCUCUCCUUCACGGGAAACUUUUUACACACUCAACCUUUCAAAAAUGUGUCUAAGAUACAUCACUUUUGACCAGAUAACACUUGUGUGUUUACACAUAAAAAAAAGCGCGUGAAGCCCGUAAAAAAUUCGAUUUAUUUUUUGUCUCCCCUCCCUACAAGAAUCCCUCCCCUACCUCUGAUCUUCUUCCUCAGACCACCCUCCCCUCAUCUUCUUCCCCAAAUAAACUGUUUGAAAGAACAUAAAAUUUUAGAUCUAAAAUUGAGAGAAAUUCAUUGGUUUAUUGUCCAAAUAUUAUGAAAACUAUUUAUUUUGUGAUAGAUUUAAAAGCUUUUAAUAGUAUUGAAGGUUUGGUGAAAAAAUCUAGAAUCCACCAUUAUUGGAUAUCGAAAAAGUUUGAAAAUUCAAUUGGGUCUUGUUGAUUAUUGAGUUGUUGAACUCAAUUGUUGGUCGAUUGUUUUCGACUAGUUGUUUAGAUAGUGUGGUUGAAUUUUGGUAUUGUUGGAAACUUUCUCACAAACAACAUGUUGGCAACAAAAAUGGUGCUUAAGAUAUAAAAUGGAAAGAUGAAAAAGAUGGGUUUUAAUUGUAAUUUCUAAUAUUUUUUUCCUUUCUAAAGUCGAUGACACGUGUUACGACCCUAUUCGGGCGUGACUUUCACGUUGUCUGAAAAAAUUAGUCAAGCACAAAAGUGGUGUGUCUUAGAUACACUUUUGAAAGGCUGAGUAUGUAAAAAACUAUCCAUGAACGAAAAGUGUGUAACAGGGAUUUCGUUGCAAGGUCGAUGCGUAAACUAUGUAUUUUGCCUUCUAUCAUCUGUUCAUGGGCCUUAUACAUACGUAAGUUGAUAAAGUUUAUUUCAUGAUAUUAAUCAAAGGCAUAAUGGUCUUAUGACGUUCCGAGAAAUUUUAUUGACGUACUUCUCAUGCAUUGCAUUCAUCUAUACAUGUACAUUGACCCAUGACCCGAUGGCGUUAUACGCGUAUAUAUGUAUAUUAUAUGUAUAUGGGAUAUGGGAAAAUGUUACGGUAUUAUAUACGCACCACCACCUGAUCAGCUGGUAUACGUUGAUGAUUUUGCCCACAGUGGCUGAAAUGAUAUGAUGGGAUGCCCUCAGAGACUUGAUGAUGUUAUGAACACAUGUACCUAUGCCGACAUGAAAUUCAUACGCAUAUGCAUGACACUAUAAGUAUUUCAUGAUUUAUAGAAUUAUCCAGACUUAUUGGUUAAGUUAUUUACUCCAUGUUUCUUCCAUGUCUUUUAUAUACUUAUUUAUGUGCCUUACAUACUCGGUACAUUAUUCGUACUGACGUCCCUUUUGUUGGGGACGCUGCGUUUCAUACCCGCAGGUAUAGACAAUCAGUUUGACAAGCCCUCAUAUUAGACGAGGUCAACAUUCAACGAAGGAUCGAUAAAACUCCAUCUUAUUCGGAGUGCAGCCAAGUCUAUAAGUCAUCAUGUCAGAGUUUUGCUACAGAUUUAUGGGUAGGCCGGUACCCUGUCCCAUUUGAUGUCAAAUAAUCUUAGAGGCUUUGUAUUCAUUUUGUACAGUAUGUCAAAGGCCUUGACGGCCCAUAUGUAUUCAUGUUUUAAGAACGAUAGUUUAUUGAUAGAGUGUUCGCUCACUUACAAUUAUGCACUACGAGUUGUUGCCAUGUUGGCCCACGAUGAUCACAGAAAGAAUGAGCUACACAAUGGUUUACUCGGACCAGUACGUCACCAAGUGCCAGCCACGCCUCCCAUGUUUGGGGCGUGACAUAAAAUACGAAAUUUAG
rnacentral:lncRNA from 1 species